CAGACAGGUGCCCAAUCAAUCAGUUUGUCCAGUCGCUUCACCGUUCACGGAUCACAAAAGUUAUGUUAAAAAUACAUUUAGUCUCUCUAUAACGUAGGCUACAAUCGUAAUAGCAUGAAAUCUCAAUCUUGCACCUUCCUCCCAGCUGGCUUCUGGAGAUGAUCCAACGAAAACCAAAGUAGCCUAAGGAAGUCUACGUCAACUGAAUUGGUUCAGAAAAUGCCCCCUGUACAAUGGAUUGUUUGUAUGAAUUCUAGAAUAUCAACAGUGGCGCCCAAGCAGAACGUCUGCUAAAAGAUAUCCCCCCAUCGGCGCAUGAACGGAAAAGUGGGCGGUCCUACUUUUGUACUUGCUGUGGCUGGCGGUGUCCUGGCUCUCCUCGAUCAGGAUUUUGGCGGCGACGUCGAGGGUGACGGUCAGCGUCUCCGACACCAGGAACAGCAUGACGAACUUCUGGCUCAUGAUCCGCAGCGACUUCUCCUUCCGCCGGUUGGCCGCCCCUGGGGGAGAACGACCGCCAACCGUCAGGACUGGACCGGACCGGACCGAAGGAGACCGCACCUUCACGAAAUGCUCGUUCUCCCAGACCAGCAGGAUUCAGUGUGCCUCCAGGAGGAGGACCAGCCCGUUCCCCUGGUCUUACCCAGGCUGGAGGCCACCUCGUCCAGGGAGAUGCUGGUCAUCUCGGACGCCGCCGGGUAGUCUGGGUAGAGCGAGAGGAACUUCUGGCACAGCAGGCCCAGGCUCUUCUGCUUCCUGCUUCCUUUCUGCUUCUCGAACUCGUCCACGCCGUCGUCCGCCGCGUCGAACUGAGGCAGAGACACGUCGAAAACCGUCAACCGACGGGAACGGGGAACAGACGGCACCGCUGAUGGGACGGCUGUCACCAGUCUGAUCAAUAAUGAUUGAUUCAGGGCUUAGUGCAAUCCCGCGAAAACUGUGUCCCGUCAGAGACGGCACUGUACCUGUCCCGGGUCCUCCGGCGUCACCGCCUCCUCCUCUUCCUCGCACCCGUUCUCAAUGGGCCGGAACAGGAUCUUCUUCAUCUCGCGGUCCCGGAUGUCGGGGCUGAUGGCGCUGAACAGCACCUUCAGCAGCGACUGUGGUACUGUAAACCUCCUCUUUCACAUCACCGUGAAAAGCCACUCAAACAAAAAAGGACACGUUCAAGGACGACGACGUGAAAUGGAUUUAAAAAAAAAAAAAAAAGAACUUACUGUGUUUGGGCUCGCCUCUGGCCCCUCUCGAGCCUCUGUCACACCUCUUGAACCACCGCCGAACACCUGCAGAGGCCUCCUCUUCUUCAUCUUACAGUGAUGUUUGUACGGGAGAGCUUGCAGGUUACGGUAAAAUAAGAUAGAAUACACUUUAUUGAACCAUGUGGGGGUAAUUUGUCCUCUGUAUUUGACCCAUCCUAGUUACUUAGGAGCAGUAGGCAGCCACAGUGCAGCACCCGGGGACCAACUCCAGUUCUGAGGCCAGUGCCUUGGGUCAAGGGCAAAAGCAGGAGAAUACCUAACCUGUCAUGCAAUGAUGGGAGGAGCUACGUAUCUCUCACUUGAAGACAUCUGGAGGCUUGUGAAUGCCUGGCUCGUGCAGCAUUGAACUUAAGAACCUAAGAGCUUUAUACCGGUCUAGACUAGGCAGCUUGCUUCCUUUCACUGUGGAGAAUGACAUCACAAUCUAAGUCUCCUCCCACAGUGUUCCGAGUUCCAAAGUUCCAACGGGAGGUGGGACGAAAGGAAAUUUGAACAAUUGUUGGUUUGCUGGUUCUGUUUAAAUUGUGUUCAUCACAUCUCUGAAAUUUCACUGCCUUUAUGAACAUUUUAAAAGCUACCUCCACCCCCCAGGAAAAAUAAAUAAGUAAGAAAAAUAAAUAAAACACCCCAAGGCUGUUCAGUGACAGGGAGUACGAGCCUCAGUAACGCUUUAUUGGUCUGGUUAUAAAUACUUUAAUAGGUUUUAAUAACCGCAGUAUACAUUUUAAAAUAAAUUGUUGAUUUGUAGUCUAAUGGUGCUGUGCUGACAUACACACAACACAGCAACAAUGCAUUUUAUUUACAUUUAGCUGUACUUAUGACUUAUGAAUUUAUAAUGCAGAGAUUGAUGAAUGCUUGGACGAAAUGUCACAGAUGUUUUUUUAAUUAUGAAUAAUGUAGUUGUUAAUGCUUUAUUAAGCUUAAACAGCUGGACCAUAUCGACGCCAUUACCAGAGCCACCGAACCGCUUCUCAGCGUAGCCUUACGGCUCUGCUACUACUACCACACCACCCUAGAACUACGGCUCGUAUGUGGCAGCAGAGGAGGCCCACCUGCUCGG